GACGAACGCUGGCGGCGUGCUUAACACAUGCAAGUCGAACGGAAAGGCCCUGCUUUUGUGGGGUGCUCGAGUGGCGAACGGGUGAGUAACACGUGAGUAACCUGCCCUUGACUUUGGGAUAACUUCAGGAAACUGGGGCUAAUACCGGAUAGGAGCUCCUGCUGCAUGGUGGGGGUUGGAAAGUUUCGGCGGUUGGGGAUGGACUCGCGGCUUAUCAGCUUGUUGGUGGGGUAGUGGCUUACCAAGGCUUUGACGGGUAGCCGGCCUGAGAGGGUGACCGGCCACAUUGGGACUGAGAUACGGCCCAGACUCCUACGGGAGGCAGCAGUGGGGAAUAUUGCACAAUGGGCGGAAGCCUGAUGCAGCAACGCCGCGUGCGGGAUGACGGCCUUCGGGUUGUAAACCGCUUUCGCCUGUGACGAAGCGUGAGUGACGGUAAUGGGUAAAGAAGCACCGGCUAACUACGUGCCAGCAGCCGCGGUGAUACGUAGGGUGCGAGCGUUGUCCGGAUUUAUUGGGCGUAAAGGGCUCGUAGGUGGUUGAUCGCGUCGGAAGUGUAAUCUUGGGGCUUAACCCUGAGCGUGCUUUCGAUACGGGUUGACUUGAGGAAGGUAGGGGAGAAUGGAAUUCCUGGUGGAGCGGUGGAAUGCGCAGAUAUCAGGAGGAACACCAGUGGCGAAGGCGGUUCUCUGGGCCUUUCCUGACGCUGAGGAGCGAAAGCGUGGGGAGCGAACAGGCUUAGAUACCCUGGUAGUCCACGCUGUAAACGGUGGGUACUAGGUGUGGGGUCCAUUCCACGGGUUCCGUGCCGUAGCUAACGCUUUAAGUACCCCGCCUGGGGAGUACGGCCGCAAGGCUAAAACUCAAAGGAAUUGACGGGGCCCCGCACAAGCGGCGGAGCAUGCGGAUUAAUUCGAUGCAACGCGUAGAACCUUACCUGGGUUUGACAUGGAUCGGGAGCGCUCAGAGAUGGGUGUGCCUCUUUUGGGGUCGGUUCACAGGUGGUGCAUGGCUGUCGUCAGCUCGUGUCGUGAGAUGUUGGGUUAAGUCCCGCAACGAGCGCAACCCUUGUUCACUGUUGCCAGCACGUUAUGGUGGGGACUCAGUGGAGACCGCCGGGGUCAACUCGGAGGAAGGUGGGGAUGACGUCAAGUCAUCAUGCCCCUUAUGUCCAGGGCUUCACGCAUGCUACAAUGGCUGGUACAGAGAGUGGCGAGCCUGUGAGGAUGAGCGAAUCUCGGAAAGCCGGUCUCAGUUCGGAUUGGGGUCUGCAACUCGACCUCAUGAAGUCGGAGUCGCUAGUAAUCGCAGAUCAGCAACGCUGCGGUGAAUACGUUCCCGGGGCU
rnacentral:rRNA from 1 species